AUAAAGAUAAAUAAAAGAGAAUAAUGAUAUUAAAGAAAGGAUAACAUUGAGGAUGUUGGACUGUAAUGGAACCGACGGGUUCAUUACAGGUCAUUAAUCGCUGACGUGCAAUGAGAGGAAGGAUCGAGCUACGGGCCGUGGUCUUCCAUGAAUAGGCUUGAGGAGCCA
rnacentral:sRNA from 1 species